rnacentral:rRNA from 1 species
UACGUAGGGUGCAAGCGUUAAUCGGAAUUACUGGGCGUAAAGCGUGCGCAGGCGGUUGUGCAAGACAGAUGUGAAAUCCCCGGGCUUAACCUGGGAAUGGCAUUUGUGACUGCACGGCUAGAGUGUGUCAGAGGGGGGUAGAAUUCCACGUGUAGCAGUGAAAUGCGUAGAUAUGUGGAGGAAUACCGAUGGCGAAGGCAGCCCCCUGGGUCAAGACUGACGCUCAUGCACGAAAGCGUGGGGAGCAAACAGG